AUGAACCAUGCCCAUCGCCUUCGGGGACGAAACCACUUGGGGCGGUGGUCUUGCUACCACUCCAUCGCCAGUUGCUUGCCGGAAGGAGUCACAUAUGCCUCACAUAAAUCCGAGCCUCCACGCUCACUCUGCCAAUGCCUCCUUCUCCGCCCUCUCCAGUCGACUCUUCGUGCGCUUCAACAUCUUAAGAUGGAUGACUUGCACAAUCAUCCUUGCAUCGUCAACCAAAUUCUCCAUCUUCAAGGUCAACAUCUUCGCCUUCUUCGAAGCGACUCUCAACCUUCUUCUCUUCGAGCACGGUCUUCUUCUCUUCAAGCUUGA
rnacentral:rRNA from 1 species